ensembl:lncRNA
UAAAAGGGUGAGUUUUCAUGGAAAACAUGAAAUUGUCUGGAUGACCCCACACCUUUGAAUGGAAGGUCAACUUUCACUUGGUACAGUUUGUCUUUACAAACUGAUCUUUACAUAUAAAAAGAGAAGAGAAUACGAUAAUUAUUUACAUCCCCCUGCAUUUUGUGGAGCUUUUUUGGUACAAAGUGUGUCUCUGUUGCAGAAAAUCUAUUUCAAGCAUGUUUUUUCUUUUUUGCAUGUUUUAGGGAGCUAAGAUGUGUAGAAAUGACAGCCAGGCACUGGAAAUAAUCAGUUUUCUGGUUCUUAUCAUGGCAGCUGGCUGUGAUCAACAGACACCAGAACAAACAGCAGACAACUAGAGAAGAAAGCCUCCCCUCUGCACAGGUCAGGUAUCUCUGAGACGUCACUAAAAAACAAGACUGCAGCAGGCAGCUGGAGGAUUCCUGUCUGCAGCCUUGGAGGCUUCGUGGAAGACGGACAGAAGCACCGAGAGACUUGGAGCUGGGGUUCCCAGUUUUCUUUUUGUGAUCAGAUUAUCUAAUACUGAAGAAGAGCAGAAUAUUCUGACAGGAACUGAGGGAGGAAACAUCACUCUGCCUGAUCCUGUACUGGAGAGAGGAUUUCUGUUUUUUGGAGGGUAUAUUAUUGCUAUGGUGAAUAAGAGAGAAUUCACCAUAGAAGAGAACAUUUACAUUAGCAGACUUCACUGGAAUAAAACCUCUGGACUCUUCACUCUCACAGAUCUGCAGAAGAGAGACUCUGGGAUUUAUAAUAU